UUUAUACUCCCUCCGUCCGGAAGUACUUGUCAUCAAAAUGGACAAAAAGAGACGUAUCUUGAACUAAAAUAUGUCUAAAUACAUCCCCUUUUAUCCAUUUUGAUGACAAGUAUUUCCGGACGGAGGGAGUACUAA
rnacentral:pre_miRNA from 1 species